rnacentral:rRNA from 1 species
GAUGAACGCUGGCGGCGUGCUUAACACAUGCAAGUCGAACGAUGAAGCCGGAGCUUGCUCUGGUGAAUUAGUGGCGAACGGGUGAGUAGCACGUGAGUAACCUGCCCUUGACUCUGGGAUAACUGCUAGAAAUGGUAGCUAAUACCGGAUACGACCCUCGGAGGCAUCUUCAGGGGGUGGAAAGAAUUUCGGCCAAGGAUGGACUCGCGGCCUAUCAGCCAGUUGGUGAGGUAAUGGCUAACCAAGGCGACGACGGGUAGCCGGCCUGAGAGGGUGACCGGCCACACUGGGACUGGGACACGGCCCAGACUCCUACGGGAGGCAGCAGUGGGGAAUAGUGCACAAUGGGCGCAAGCCUGAGGCAGCAACGCCGCGUGAGGGAUGACGGCCUUCGGGUUGUAAACCUCUUUUAGUAGGGAAGAAGCGAAAGUGACGGUACCUGCAGAAAAAGCACCGGCUAACUACGUGCCAGCAGCCGCCGUAA